rnacentral:lncRNA from 1 species
GUUUUAACCAGGCCUUUUUCUUAAUGACAUCUAAUGCUAUUUUAACAUGUGAUGUUUUGUGUUUUUAUGUUGUGUUUUUAUGUUCUAAGCCUCCUGAGACCUGUGGGUGUAGGAAUACAGCCACUCUUAAAUUCCUUGGGGUCUUUGCGCCCCCCCCAUAAAAUAUUUGAGGAGGCCACCCCCCAGGUUUUCUUUGUCUGUUUUUUUCAAAUGCAACCUUUUUUUCUUUCGCAACUUGCCAUUCCAUUUCGCUUUCAAUUUGCCCUUUUAAGAAAUUUUUAAAACCGCACAAAGGUCAUGAGAAAAACAAAAUACGAGAAAAUACAAAAGUGGACAGGUCCCAUCUUUGCGGGCCAAACGCAAAAGUUGCUUUAAAGGAGGCUUUCCCAUACAUGGGUCCCAAGCAGCACCAGGACUACAGUUUCCAGCAUCCCUCCCCAUUGGUCCUGCUAGCUAGGGAUGAUGGGAGUUGUAGUCCAAAAACAGCCGGAGACCCAAGUUUGCUUUAAAGGGAAAGUGGGCUGGCCCUGUGACAUUUCCAGAGAGCCAAGACUGUGCAGGGGACCCCAGGACUCACCCCCCCCCAGGAGACCAAGAGAAAGGGAAGGAAUCCUACUUACAGCCUGCCCAUUUCGUCCAGGAAAAAAAAAUCCCACCUUCCUCUCUGAACUAGCCAACUAUCUAAAAUGCCCAUCCAAGCCUAACUCUGACCCCAGCCCUAAGCCUAAGCCUAACUACCCCUCUAUGUACAAAAUAAAUAUGUACAAAAUAUAUACAAAAUAUGCACAUAUGUGCACAAAAUAAAAUAAAAAUAUUAAAUAAAGAACAAUAAGAUAAAAGUGUUAGAAUAAAAAAACUAAGAAAUAAAUCAAAUAAAAGUAUUAAAUGAAAUGGUAAGCAAAAUAAGAAACUGGAAAAAUAACAAUAAACCAAACUUAUCUUCUCCAACCACCAUGAACCCUCUUUCCUCCACUCGCCUCACUACUAACCACAGAUUAGUGAUGUAUGUAUGACAUUUUAUUAAAAGGUGUUGUGGGUGAAAUGGGCUUCUUCCCUGAGGUAGUUGGAAGUCUUGUUGCAACAGUUCAUUGACUAAAGACCAGGCCUCUCCAGAGAGCCAAGUCU